rnacentral:rRNA from 1 species
AUUGUGUGAAUACAUAGCACAUUCGAGGUAGACGCAGAGAACUGAAACAUCUAAGUACCUGCAGGAAGAGAAAGAAAAUUCGAUUCCCUGAGUAGCGGCGAGCGAAACGGGAAAAGCCCAAACCAGCAAGCUUGCUUGUUGGGGUUGUAGGACUCCAAUAUGGUAGUUCUUUCAGAUAGUCGAAUGACUUGGAAAAGUCAGUCAAAGAGGGUAAAAACCCCGUAGACGAAAUGUGGAAGACACCUAGGAGGAUCCUGAGUACGGCGGAACACGAGAAAUUCCGUCGGAAUCCGGGAGGACCAUCUCCCAAGGCUAAAUACUCCCUAGUGACCGAUAGUGAACCAGUACCGUGAGGGAAAGGUGAAAAGCACCCCGGAAGGGGAGUGAAAUAGAACCUGAAACCGUGUGCCUACAACAAGUCAAAGCCCGUUAAUGGGUGAUGGCGUGCCUUUUGUAGAAUGAACCGGCGAGUUACGAUUGCAUGCGAGGUUAAGUUGA